rnacentral:rRNA from 1 species
AUUGAACGCUGGCGGCAUGCCUUACACACGCAAGUCGAACGGUAACAGGUCUUCGGAUGCUGACGAGUGGCGAACGGGUGAGUAAUGCAUCGGAACGUGCCCAGUAGUGGGGGAUAGCCCGGCGAAAGCCGGAUUAAUACCGCAUACGACCUGAGGGCGAAAGGGGGGGAUCGCAAGACCUCUCGCUAUUGGAGCGGCCGAUGUCAGAUUAGCUAGUUGGUGGGGGAAAGGCCUACCAAGGCAACGAUCUGUAGUUGGUCUGAGAGGACGACCAGCCACACUGGGACUGAGACACGGCCCAGACUCCUACGGGAGGCAGCAGUGGGGAAUUUUGGACAAUGGGCGCAAGCCUGAUCCAGCAAUGCCGCGUGCAGGAAGAAGGCCUUCGGGUUGUAAACUGCUUUUGUCAGGGAAGAAAUCUUCUGGGUUAAUACCUCGGGAGGAUGACGGUACCUGAAGAAUAAGCACCGGCUAACUACGUGCCAGCAGCCGCCGUAACAC